rnacentral:lncRNA from 1 species
CUUUUGGAUUGUUCUCAAUUUCAAUCUUAAAUGUUUCAAAAUCAAUCACUCAUACAAUAGCAUAUUUUCUGAUCUCAAUUAUGACUUUCUCUUCAAUGAUAUUAAGCAAAAUAUUAUCAUGCUUUAAAUCACAAUAUAUAAUAUGCAUGUUAUUUAAGUAACAUGUACCUUUUGAAAUUUAAUAUGUGAUAUUAAUAAAAAAAAAUGUAAGUAUAUACUUUCUCCUAAAAUCUCGCUUAAACUUAGUUGCAUCAAUUAUAUCUCUAAAUACAAAUAUUUUCUUUUUUUCCUUAGGUGCAUAACAUUUUUCAUUCACAUUAUUAUAACUAUUUAUAUUAAAAUAAUAUUUUAUUAAAUUAAGAUGG